UAGUCCUAGCCGUAAACUAUGGAUACUAGAUGCUGGAAAAGUCAAUCUUUUCAGUGUCGUAGCUAACGCGUUAAGUAUCCCGCCUGGGAAGUACGCUCGCAAGGGUGAAACUCAAAGGAAUUGACGGGGGCCCGCACAAGCGGUGGAGUAUGUGCUUUAAUUCGAUGCAACGCGAAGAACCUUACCUGGAUUUGACAUGGGAGUGAAAGCUUUCAGAGAUGAGAGCCUUUCCGCAAGGAACACUCUACACAGGUGCUGCAUGGUUGUCGUCAGCUCGUGUCGUGAGAUGUUGGGUUAAGUCCCGCAACGAGCGCAACCCUCGCUCUUAGUUGCCAUCAGGUAAUGCUGGGAACUCUAAGGGGACUGCCUGUAAUAAACAGGAGGAAGGUGGGGAUGACGUCAAAUCAUCAUGGCCCUUACGUCCAGGGCUAGACACGUACUACAAUGGCCGGUACAAUGGGCUGCUAACCCGCGAGGGUAUGCUAAUCUCAAAAACCGGUCUC
rnacentral:rRNA from 1 species